UACGUAGGGGGCUAGCGUUGUCCGGAUUUAUUGGGCGUAAAGAGCGUGUAGGCGGCCAUGUAGGUCCGGUGUGAAAACUCGAGGCUUAACCUCGAGAUGUCAUCGGAAACCAUUUGGCUAGAGUCCGGAAGAGGAGAGUGGAAUUCCUGGUGUAGCGGUGAAAUGCGCAGAUAUCAGGAAGAACACCAGUGGCGAAGGCGGCACUCUGGGCCGGUACUGACGCUGAGGAGCGAAAGCGUGGGGAGCGAACAGG
rnacentral:rRNA from 1 species